AAGGUAACUUGUACGCGAGACAAGUGAAAUCGACAUAUGUAUCAGGAAUACACUGCAGUGAGGUUUCAUACAGAGGACCAAGAAAUCUGAUCUGAGUAUGAUGCAGGGUAACACGUGGUGGGAUACUUAUUUAAACAGAGGUAUUGAGCGAUGAAGGAUGGUGAGAUGAAGCAAAGUAAGAAACUGUUAGAAGACAUUGCAGGGAUUGCAGAGAAUUGUCUUACAGUUUGUCCAUUUCAGGUAGGGUAAAACUUGUUCUCCACAAGCAGAC
rnacentral:lncRNA from 1 species